rnacentral:lncRNA from 1 species
CUAACCAACAUCGCUUUCUCUCCUCCAACAAUCACAAGCUUGCCAUUCUUGACAAAUUUGAGCUUCUGGUGCAGAGUGGAGGUAACAACUCCUGCCUCAUGAAUCCAUGGCCUUCCCAAUAAACAGUUGUAGGCCAGGUGGAUAUCCAUUACUUGAAAAGUAAUAUGAAAAUCACUCGGACCUAUCUUGACUGGAAGGUCCACUUCAC